rnacentral:lncRNA from 1 species
UGUGGUGGCGUAUGGGCUGUUCCAAAGACUUGACAUCAGAUCUCAAGUGUUCCUCUCCUUUGUCUCUGAAGAAAGAGUUUAUCCCUCUCUCCUACAGCAUUUGACGUGCAUGCGAAGUAGAGGAUUCGCGCAUCCGAAUCUCAUAAAGUAUAUUGAUCGAGGAGCUUCUUCAACCUCGAUCCUUUUUCAUUGUGAAUCAAAAUGAGAAUUUAUAAAUAUUAUAAAAAUUUUAAUUGCUAAUCUAUUCUAUC